AUACGGAGGGUGCAAGCGUUACUCGGAAUCACUGGGCGUAAAGCGCGCGCAGGCGGCUAUUUAAGUUGGAUGUGAAAGCCUACGGCUCAACCGUAGAACUGCAUCCAAAACUAUUUAGCUAGAGUGUGGGAGAGGAAGAUGGAAUUAGUUGUGUAGGGGUAAAAUCCGUAGAGAUAACUAGGAAUACCAAAAGCGAAGGCAAUCUUCUGGAACACUACUGACGCUGAGGCGCGAAAGUGUGGGGAGCAAACGGGAUUAGAAACCCCAGUAGUCC
rnacentral:rRNA from 1 species